rnacentral:lncRNA from 1 species
UAUUCAUAUUUUCUGCUUGGCAAGGUCUAAUAAUAUUGUAGAGUCCAGCUGCAACUCAAACUCGCGGAGCAAAAAUUGAUCCGUGUCAGAGGCCUAUCCUUCAGAUUGCUAUCCGUGGUUUUAAACCUAUCUAGGCUUUUAGGCUUAUCACAUCAUAAUCAGAACUCCCAUCAAUGCCUUGAUUUAUCCCAUUAAAACUCCCAAUGCAACUAUAAAACUUUCUAUUCCAUGAUAUCUGUUCAGGUACAACUACGCAUGUAGUGUGAAUUGCAAUAUGUCACUGUAAUCCAACUUUUGUACGGCAAUAGUCU